rnacentral:lncRNA from 1 species
CCCGGCGCAGCGGCCGCCCCCCGAGAGCCCCGGCGCCCCGCCGCCGCCCGGCCCCGGAGACGCGGGCGGCGCCAUGGCGGCCGCCAAGCCCGGCGAGCUGAUGGGCAUCUGCUCCAGCUACCAGGCGGUGAUGCCGCACUUCGUGUGCCUGGCGGACGAGUUCCCGCAGCCCGUGCGGCCCGCCAAGCUGUCCAAGGGCAAGGGCCGGCUGCGGCGGCCGCGCCAGUCCCGCUUCAAGACGCAGCCGGUGACCUUCGACGAGAUCCAGGAGGUGGAGGAGGAAGGGGUGUCCCCCAUGGAGGAGGAAAAGGCCAAGAAGUCGUUCCUGCAGAGCCUGGAGUGCCUGCGCCGCAGCACGCAGAGCCUGUCGCUGCAGAGGGAGCAGCUCAGCAGCUGCAAACUGAGGAACAGCCUGGACUCCAGCGACUCCGACUCGGCCCUGUGAGGGGCGCCGCCCGCCCGGGGACCGAGAGCGAAGCCCCAGAGGACCGGGGCCCCGCACUCCGGGGACCCGCGAGGACCGGGACCUCUCGCGCGGCCGCGAACUGCUCGGUGCGCCCCGCGCUGCGCUCGUCCGGGGCCCGAGCACGCGGGGGUGCCGGGGAGGGGGGCUGCUUUCUUUGCCCUUGUAAAUGUUUAUUUUUUAACUCUUCCCAGUACGGACUCUGCUGUGAGUGUGUGCGGGAGGCGCGCCCGCGCUGAGUCGACCCCGGGUCGCCAGGGCUUCCCGGAGGGCCGCUCCACGCCCUUGUCCGAUGGUUUGCAACUCCGAUUUUGCACGCCGCUCCACCGUGCCCCCCAGCGCACACCCGUUCACACUCACGCCAACACACUCUCGCUGAACACUUUUAUAAUUGUUAGGCGCGGCCGAUGGGACUUGGGGCGCAGCGCAGCUGCUGCUGCGGCCGGAGGAUGGAUAUUUAUUUUUGCAUUGCGAUGGCUGACGGCGUUUAUUUAACGAUCUUUUUACUUGGAUAUGUCUGUGAGGCUCCCGAACGGAGACAAAUAAAGUCAAUAUAUUUGCACAGUGCA